rnacentral:rRNA from 1 species
AAUGAACGCUGGCGGCAUGGCUAAGACAUGCAAGUCGAACGGACCAUUUUGAAGAGUAAUCGGAUUCAUGGUUAGUGGCGAAAGGGUGAGGAAUAGAUAGGUAACGUACCUUUGGCUUCGGAAUAGCUCAUCGAAAGGUGGGGUAAUGCCGGAUGAUGUCACUUGAUUAAUUCAGGUGACCAAAGAUUUAUCGGCCAUUGAGCGGCCUAUCUCCUAUCAGCUUGUUGGUGAGGUAACGGCUCACCAAGGCUACGACGGGUAGCGGGACUGAGAGGUUGGCCCGCCACAUCGGAACUGAGACACUGUCCGGACCUCCACGGAGGGCUGCAGUAACGAAUAUUGGGCAAUGGGCGAAAGCCUGACCCAGCAAUGCCGCGUGCAGGAUGAAGCCCCUCGGGGUGUAAACUGCUUUCAGGGAUUAGAAAGCUUCGGUUGAUCAGUCCCAGAAGAAGUCACGGCUAACUUCGUG